rnacentral:rRNA from 1 species
AAUCCCCUACGGGAGGCAGCAGUGAGGAAUAUUGGUCAAUGGGCGGUAGCCUGAACCAGCCAAGUAGCGUGAAGGAUGAAGGUUCUAUGGAUUGUAAACUUCUUUUAUAAAGGAAUAAAGUGAGGCACGUGUGCCUUUUUGUAUGUACUUUAUUAAUAAGGAUCGGCUAACUCCGUGCCAGCAGCCGCGGUAAUACGGAGGAUCCGAGCGUUAUCCGGCUUUAUUGGGUUUAAAGGGAGCGUAGAUGGGUUGUUAAGUCAGUUGUGAAAGUUUGCGGCUCAACCGUCACAUUGCAAUUGCUACUG